CAGUAGCCGCGGUAACACGAAGGGGGCUAGCGUUGUUCGGAAUUACUGGGCGUAAAGCGCACGUAGGCGGAUUUUUAAGUCAGGGGUGAAAUCCCGAGGCUCAACCUCGGAACUGCCUUUGAUACUGGAGAUCUUGAGUUCGGAAGAGGUUGGUGGAGCAGCUAGUGUAGAGGUGAAAUUCGUAGAUAUUAGCUAGAACACCAGUGGCGAAGGCGGCCAACUGGUCCGAUACUGACGCUGAGGUGCGAAAGCGUGGGGAGCAAACAGGAUUAGAUACCCCGGUAGUCCCUGUCUCUUAUAA
rnacentral:rRNA from 1 species